CAAUAGCGUAUAUUUAAGUUGUUGCAGUUAAAAAGCUCGUAGUUGGAUUUCGGAUGGGAUCUGCCGGUCCGUCUUUGAGAUGUGUACUGGUAGGUCCUAUCUUGUUGUCGAGGACCAGCUCCUGGGCUUCACUGUCCGGGACUGGGAGCCGACGAAGUUACUUUGAGUAAAUUAGAGUGUUCAAAGCAAGCCUACGCUCUGAAUAUAUUAGCAUGGAAUAACACGAUAGGACUCUGGCUUAUCUUGUUGGUCUGUGAGACCAGAGUAAUGAUUAAGAGGAACAGUCGGGGGCAUUCGUAUUCCAUUGUCAGAGGUGAAAUUCUUAGAUUUAUGGAAGACGAACAUCUGCGAAAGCAUUUGCCAAGGAUGUUUUCAUUGA
rnacentral:rRNA from 1 species